rnacentral:rRNA from 1 species
UUCCAGACUCCUACGGGAGGCAGCAGUGGGGAAUAUUGCACAAUGGGGGAAACCCUGAUGCAGCAACGCCGCGUGAGUGAAGAAGUAUUUCGGUAUGUAAAGCUCUAUCAGCAGGGAAGAAGAUGACGGUACCUGAGUAAGAAGCCCCGGCUAACUACGUGCCAGCAGCCGCGGUAAUACGUAGGGGGCAAGCGUUAUCCGGAUUUACUGGGUGUAAAGGGAGCGUAGACGGUGAGACAAGUCUGAAGUGAAAGCCCGGGGCUCAACCCCGGGACUGCUCUUGGAACUGCGCGGCUGGAGUGCAGGAGGGGCAGGCGGAAUUCCUGGUGUAGCGGUGAAAUGCGUAGAUAUCAGGAGGAACACCGGUGGCGAAGGCGGCCUGCUGGACUGCGACUGACGUUGAGGCCCGAAAGCGUGGGGAGCAAACAGGAUUAGAUACCCUGGUAA